GGCUGAAAUUCGCCUUCAUGAAGCUGGAAUUGCUAGUAAUGGCAGGUCAGCAUACUGCCGUGAAUACGUUCCCGGGCCUUGUACACACCGCCCGUCACACCAUGAGAGUUGGGGAUACCCGAAGCCUGUGAGCUAACUGUAAAGAGGCAGCAGUCGAAGGUAGAAUCAAUGAUUGGGGUGAAGUCGUAACAAGGUAGC
rnacentral:rRNA from 1 species